UGGGUAACCUACCCAUAAGACUGGGAUAACUCCGGGAAACCGGGGCUAAUACCGGAUAAUAUUUUGAACUGCAUAGUUCGAAAUUGAAAGGCGGCUUCGGCUGUCACUUAUGGAUGGACCCGCGUCGCAUUAGCUAGUUGGUGAGGUAACGGCUCACCAAGGCGACGAUGCGUAGCCGACCUGAGAGGGUGAUCGGCCACACUGGGACUGAGACACGGCCCAGACUCCUACGGGAGGCAGCAGUAGGGAAUCUUCCGCAAUGGACGAAAGUCUGACGGAGCAACGCCGCGUGAGUGAUGAAGGCUUUCGGGUCGUAAAACUCUGUUGUUAGGGAAGAACAAGUGCUAGUUGAAUAAGCUGGCACCUUGACGGUACCUAACCAGAAAGCCACGGCUAACUACGUGCCAGCAGCCGCGGUAAUACGUAGGUGGCAAGCGUUAUCCGGAAUUAUUGGGCGUAAAGCGCGCGCAGGUGGUUUCUUAAGUCUGAUGUGAAAGCCCACGGCUCAACCGUGGAGGGUCAUUGGAAACUGGGAGACUUGAGUGCAGAAGAGGAAAGUGGAAUUCCAUGUGUAGCGGUGAAAUGCGUAGAGAUAUGGAGGAACACCAGUGGCGAAGGCGA
rnacentral:rRNA from 1 species